AAGAUUUUAAGUUAAAAAAACUAAUUAUCUUCAAAAUAAUAAUUACAUCUAAUGUAAAUCUUA
rnacentral:tRNA from 1 species